rnacentral:rRNA from 1 species
UACGGAGGGUGCAAGCGUUAUCCGGAUUUACUGGGUUUAAAGGGUGCGUAGGCGGGUUAUUAAGUCAGUGGUGAAAGCCUUCAGCUUAACUGAAGAAUUGCCAUUGAUACUGAUGAUCUUGAGUAUGAUUGAGGUGGGCGGAAUGUGUCAUGUAGCGGUGAAAUGCUUAGAUAUGACACAGAACACCGAUUGCGAAGGCAGCUCACUAAGUCAUAACUGACGCUGAUGCACGAAAGCGUGGGGAGCAAACAGG